rnacentral:siRNA from 1 species
AGGGUGAUACUAGAUCAAACCAU